AGAACGAACGCUGGCGGCAUGCCUAACACAUGCAAGUCGAACGCUGUGAGGGUUUCGGCCUUCACGGAGUGGCGCACGGGUGAGUAGCGCGUGGGAACCUGCCCUGGAGUGGGGGAUAACCGAGGGAAACUUCGGCUAAUACCGCAUACGUCCCCGGAGUGAUCCGGGGGGAAAGAUUUAUCGCUCUUGGAGGGGCCCGCGUCGGAUUAGGUAGUUGGUGGGGUAACGGCCUACCAAGCCUGUGAUCCGUAGCUGGUCUGAGAGGAUGAUCAGCCACACUGGGACUGAGACACGGCCCAGACUCCUACGGGAGGCAGCAGUGGGGAAUAUUGGACAAUGGGCGCAAGCCUGAUCCAGCAAUGCCGCGUGAGUGAUGAAGGCCUUCGGGUUGUAAAGCUCUUUCGCCCGCGACGAUGAUGACGGUAGCGGGAGAAGAAGCCCCGGCUAACUUCGUGCCAGCAGCCGC
rnacentral:rRNA from 1 species